rnacentral:rRNA from 1 species
GACGAACGCUGGCGGCGUGCCUAACACAUGCAAGUCGAACGGAGAAGUUGAUUUCGGUUGACUUCUUAGUGGCGAACGGGUGAGUAACGCGUGAACAACCUGACCUCAAGAGGGGGAUACCAACGAGAAAUCGUUGUUAAUACCGCAUAAGACCACAGCGCCGCAUGGCAAAGGGGUCAAAGGAGCAAUCCGCUUGAGGAGGGGUUCGCGUCCCAUUAGGUAGUAGGCGGGGUAACGGCCCACCUAGCCAGCGAUGGGUAGCCGAGCUGAGAGGCUGAACGGCCACACUGGAACUGAGACACGGUCCAGACUCCUACGGGAGGCAGCAGUGGGGAAUAUUGGGCAAUGAGCGCAAGCCUGACCCAGCAACGCCGCGUGAGGGAAGAAGGUUUUCGGAUUGUAAACCUCUGUCGCAGAUGACGAAGGAAGUGACGGUAAUCUGUGAGGAAGCCCCGGCUAACUACGUG